UUCCAGACUCCUACGGGAGGCAGCAGUAGGGAAUUUUCGUCAAUGGGCGCAAGCCUGAACGAGCAAUGCCGCGUGAACGAGGAAGGUCUUCGGAUCGUAAAGUUCUGUUGACGGGGAAAAAAGACCGGGAAAGGAAAUGAUCCCGGAGGAGAUAUUACCCGUCGAGGAAGUCACGGCUAACUACGUGCCAGCAGCCGCGGUAAUACGUAGGUGGCGAGCGUUAUCCGGAAUGAUUGGGCGUAAAGGGUGCGUAGGCGGUCGAUUAAGUCAGGUGUGAAAACUCCGGGCUCAACCUGGAGACUGCACUUGAAACUGGGUGUCUUGAGGGCAGGAGAGGAAAGUGGAAUUCCUAGUGUAGCGGUGAAAUGCGUAGAUAUUAGGAGGAACACCAGUGGCGAAGGCGACUUUCUGGACUGUACCUGACGCUGAGGCGCGAAAGCGUGGGUAGCGAACGGGAUUAGAUACCCCCGUA
rnacentral:rRNA from 1 species